GUGCUGGCUUCAGCAGGACAAACACCAAAAGAUGAAUGAUACAGAGAAAAUUAGCAUGGUUCCUGCCCAAGGAUGACAUACAAAUUUGUGAAGUAGUCUGUCUUUAA